rnacentral:rRNA from 1 species
ACACGUCUACAUUAGAUACCCGUGUAGUCCCAGCCGUAAACUAUGCGCGUUAGGUGUAUCGGUGACCACGAGUUACCGAGGUGCCGAAGGGAAACCGUGAAACGUGCCGCCUGGGAAGUACGGUCGCAAGGCUGAAACUUAAAGGAAUUGGCGGGGAGCACCACAACGGGUGGAGCCUGCGGUUUAAUUGGACUCAACGCCGGGAAGCUCACCGGAUAGGACAGCAGAAUGAUUGCCGGGCUGAAGACCCUGCAUGACUAGCUG